GAUGCCAUGCCGUCAUCCUCUUUCUGUUCCUAGCAACUACAGCAAGGGCUGGGUCCUAGCAGUUGCCUAAGUAAUACUGUUAGAAUUAAAGAAUGAGAACAGAGUCUUAAAAGGCAAAUUCUGGCCAGGCACGGUGGCUCACACCUGUAAUCCUGGCACUUUGGGAGGCCAAGCUGGUCUCAAACUCCUGACCUUAGGUGAUCCACCCGCCUCGGCCUCCCAGAGUAUUGGGAUUACAGGCGUGAGCCACUGCGCCCAGCCCUGCCUCCUUGUUUUUGUCGCUCCUCUCUGUAGCCCUGUCCCAGCAACUUGUAUGCUUCCUUUUUCACAGAGCCAUCAUGCAUGAAGAAAAUGGAAUGCAUCAGUAUUUUAUAGACAUUAUUAUUGUCAAAUACAUGCAGAUUUGGACAGGGACAAAUACAGAGAUGAACACUAUUAUUAAGGCAGGACUUUUUUUUUUUUUUAGCUUUAGUGCCUUUUAAUCAUAUUUUCAUAAUAUAAAAUCAUAACAUAAAUAUCAGGAAAGCUAGUAAUUAUUAUUUUGUGUGUGGACUGCCUGGCUAUAUUAUAAACAGGGCAAAGUUUACAUUUUCCUUCCUUCAUUCACGCAGUCAGGGAAAUACUAAGUUGCAAAAUGAUGACAACGAUACAAACAAGUCAUUGGCCCAGAAGGCACCACGAGCAGCUAUUAAUAAGGAAAACAACUUUUUCCAGCUGAGGCCGAGUUGAUUAACUUAUUUUCCUGGAGGAGAGAUAAAGCUUAAGCUAUAAUUUAUUGAAAAUUAAUGAAAAUGAAUUUUGGUGGCACUGGCUAUCAAACUAGAAUGAAAAUAAGAAUGUGAGUAUACUGCAUUAAACCAAAUUUUCCUUCAGGACUCCCAUAUUGCUUCAGCUCUUGUACUGUCACAGAGGUUUGAAUUUGAAAGCAUUAAUGUUGUCUAUUUGCCAGUGGUUCUGAUGGUAAAUAUCCACAGAGUCUUUUAUCUUUAAUUUCUUUCGAUGUGUGUUUUUAGAUCAAGCUUAGUUAGCAAUUUUUAAUGAGAACUUAUACGUCUUGGAGCUUUAGUGCUUUGUUUCAAAAGCCUGACCUUGCAUUUGCUUUUUAAACAAAUGUUUCAGAGCUCUUGUUGCCAAAGACUAAAAUCUUUAAAUUUUGGUGUGAUCAUGUAUAAAGUUCUUGAUGUCCAGUUAUGAGACUUUUCUAGGGGUAUAGCCUAGUGCUGUAACCAAUGAGAUACUGACAGAGAAAACCACUACCUUUUUGGUUAAAGGAUGCUCAUUUUUAGAUCAUUUUUUUCCCCCAGGAUCUCAAUUUUCAUGAAUGUUCUUUCCAGCCUAUCUUUAAGGUUUAGUUUUAUAUUGCAUUGCAAACAAUGCAGUAUCAAAUGUUUGUUCACAUGGAUGUGGACAACAAUACGAGGAAGGAAGAGCCAGACACGCAUGUGACGGUCCUCUGAAGGACCACUGAUAUUACAAAUGGCCAAAUGAACUGGCUUCCCAGGUAGCUUCCUCAAGGAGAGACGUUGCAUCCUGGCACCCAGAUCCCUGGACUUAAAGAUCAAUGGCCUUGAUUUGUCUGAAAUUACCUCACAGAGAGGAUUCCUGUUAAUGAUUACAGAUCCUUCCCAAUACACUUUAUUUAUGGGACUCCCUCAAUGGCGGGGGAGGGGGGGUUGGGGGCGGGCUCUGCUGUCUCCAGCACCGGAAAGAUGCUUUCUCCAGAAGAUGAAUUGGCAUGAACCCUACCAGGCCUGGGAGGGUAGGAGCUUCUGUAGCCUUUUCAAGUAAAAGGGAAAACCCAGACUUGCAUUAG